UACGUAGGGGGCAAGCGUUGUCCGGAUUUAUUGGGCGUAAAGAGCGUGUAGGCGGUCAGGUAGGUCCGUUGUGAAAACUCGAGGCUCAACCUCGAGACGCCGAUGGAAACCAUCUGACUAGAGUCCGGAAGAGGAGAGUGGAAUUCCUGGUGUAGCGGUGAAAUGCGCAGAUAUCAGGAAGAACACCCGUGGCUAAGGCGGCUCUCUAGUACGGUAUUGACGCUGAGACGCGAAAGCGUGGGGAGCGAACAGG
rnacentral:rRNA from 1 species